rnacentral:rRNA from 1 species
UGGCGAACGGGUGAGCAACACGUGGGUGAUCUGCCCUGCACUUCGGGAUAAGCCUGGGAAACUGGGUCUAAUACCGGAUAGGACGAUGGUUUGGAUGCCAUUGUGGAAAGUUUUUCGGUGUGGGAUGAGCUCGCGGCCUAUCAGCUUGUUGGUGGGGUAAUGGCCUACCAAGGCGUCGACGGGUAGCCGGCCUGAGAGGGUGUACGGCCACAUUGGGACUGAGAUACGGCCCAG